GGCCUCGUGGCCCAAUGGCAAGGCGUCUGACUACGACGAAAAUUUGUUGUCUACGAUAUCAAAUCAUUCGAAAUAAUCAGGAGAUUCCAGGUUCGACCCCUGGCGUGGUCA